ACAGUCUCUCACACUCGAGAUGCAAAAUUAAGGAAGAAAGUAUAGUUUCCCCAGCUUCAGCCCCACACACACUUUGUCAGAAGGCACGACACCAUAAUUGACGUUCCCAGCAAGACUGAAUUCAAUAGGAAGAGUGAAUGCCACAGAAAAUCAGAGAGAAAGAAUAGACAGCUCAAAACUACAGACGUCCUAACCAUUUAAUAGUCGGAUGGAUGGUUGGGGAGAUCAAAGAAUGCUUGAAUAUUUGGCGGGUCAGUUUCAACUCCGAUCCACUAGGGGGCGCGAAGAGACUGCUAGCGCGGGGUCCAUCCGGGGAUUCGCCGCUCUAGGCCCUAGCUCGUCUCUCAACUGCAGUUCCGCCAGCGCCCGACAGAUGGAGGGUGGGUCCUGUCUCCGAGUCGCCGGGAACCGUCCAGCAUCUUCUCACGUCGUCCAGUUUGACCUGCAGCCGACAUUCCUGGCGCCCCGGACGAGUCCACUGCGUGCAGAGGCGUCAUGGAAGCUGUCAUGUCAGGAGCAUUCUAGACCGUGCUGUCCUUGAGAUGUUGGCUUGAAGAAAGGCAAGGUAACAUCGGAGAGCAAACCCUUGUCGUGACCUCCUGCCCUGUUGACCUCCCCAUCAUGCUGGGGGUGCUGCCUUGGAGGACACCUCGGGGAUGGGAACACUGGCCUCUCAGGAUGGUGACCCGGGUUCCAGCUUCCCUGGAGGAGCCUCCUCAUGGUUGUUCUGGGUCUGAUCACAGCCACUUGCGUAGCAGACUGAAGAGGGGUGUUGCUGCAUGACCACCGCCAGACCUUCUUCUCCUGUUGCCUCAGCACAGUAUGGAAGGGCUUGGCCCCAUGUGACCAGGUCAGGGGCCUGGGUAAGGCCUGAGACCUUGGGACCUUGGGAUUCACAGCUGGAGACCUUCAGCUGGCUCUGCCCCUGCCCCCUAGCAGGUGCCACAGGGCACAGCAGACCCAGAAGACUGGUUUCCUUCCAUCUGGACCAGGUCCUCCAGUGGCCUCCAUGUCCCCCUCUCUGCUCCUGGUGUAACUUUUAGAGCCAGGAGUUCCUGUUGGAGGCGUCUCUGCUGGGCAUCUUGUCCUCUCACCCACUUCAAUAAAUCUUGAAACAGCCCUGCCGCUUGUUUCUUUUGUUUCCUUUAAUCCCUGCCUCUGUGUGCACAGCUGGGUGGAGAGACCAUGGGUCACAGGGGCAGGUCUUCCAGUUUUCACUCACUGAGACUUUCUACUUCACACACUCCUGAGGCCUGACCUGAGGAUGGGAUGUAGAAUUGCAAAAUGCCAUGGGUUUAACCCGUCCCAAGUGCUCUGGGGGCUCAGGUUUCGGAGAGAAGGGAGCUGUUAGAAUUGUUGGCAGAGGAACGUUUGCACCAGGGCUUUGGAAGAGAGUAUGAGGGUGGGCUGGACAUAGAGAGAGUCAGGCACUGAAGUCCUCCCGGAGGGCAGGAGAGCCCUGGGGUGGAAGUACAUGUGGUGAAUUUAGGGAGACGGUUUUGAGCAGGGGUAGAAGAGGGGUACAGUAGGAAUGGCUGCCUCGGGAGGACUCUGGGGGCAUGGUGGGCAAAGGCCAGGUGUUGGGCUUAUAUAAGGGUUCACGGGUAGUCAAAAAUCCAGAGUUAGUCAAAAAUCCAAAUUGCGACUUCCUGGCGGUCCAGUGGUUAAGACCAUGCUUGCACAGGUUCGAUCCCUGGUCAGGGAGCUAGGAUCCCAUGUGUCAUGCAGUGUAGCCAAAACAAAAAAAAAACGGACAUGUUUUUGACCAUUCACCUUGUUCACUUUCAAAUUGUAAAUGAUGCUCACCCCAACCCAGCCUUUUAGGUCUGCCCUCCCCUGCCUUCUGCCACCC
ensembl:lncRNA